CAAUAGAGUAUAUUAAAGUUGUUGCAGUUAAAAAGCUCGUAGUUGGAUUUGUGGCGUACGGUGUGUUCCGGGCACUUGUUGUCUGAGUAACCUGCUGUUGCCAUCCUUGGGUGGAACCUGUGUGGCAUUAGGUUGUCGUGCAGGGGAUGCCCAUCAUUUACUGUGAAAAAAUUAGAGUGUUCAAAGCAGGCUUAUGCCGUUGAAUAUAUUAGCAUGGAAUAAUGAGAUAGGACUUUUUUGCUAUUUUGUUGGUUUGCGCAAAGAGGUAAUGAUUAAUAGGGACAGUUGGGGGUAUUCGUAUUCCAUUGUCAGAGGUGAAAUUCUUGGAUUUUUGGAAGACGAACUACUGCGAAAGCAUUUACCAAGGAUGUUUUCAUUAA
rnacentral:rRNA from 1 species